AAUGUCUAUAUUUGUGGUGAAAAUAUUUAAAAAAUGUCUUAGAUCAAAUUACAUUUCAGUGUUACGGCUGAUAUAGCUAGGCUAGCUGGUGAUGUUACUCUUCUCUUGACAAGAGUGUCAUGCAGUCUCUGAGAGGAAGAGGACUAGUCUACCAAGAGUGGAUUAUUACUUAGUGUUUCAGGUAUUAUCCAGCCUUGGUGAUCCUAUAGUACUGGGAGGGACUGGAGAACAUGACAGGGCCAGUAACAGCUACCAAUGGUCAUCACUGACAGUAUAACUUUUUUGAAAAAAGGAUCAGUCUCACAUUUUUUGGCAAAAAACACAAAUGUGUUUCUGAUGUCUAAAAAUAGACUUUGUGUACUUGCAUCAUGCAAGUGUCAUGUCAGCAAUCUUAACGUCACGUGGCAAAGUGGGAGGAGUAUUAAGUGACGUGUCCUCUUUCUCGUUGAAAAGAAAAGGAUAUUUGCUUUGAAAUGUCUGCGAGGCUAGUUGGACAUUUUAAAUGCUUGCUGUAACUUAAUAUGUAAAUAUUAUGGAUAUAGGUGUUUUGAAUCAACAGUCGGGCGGGUCAUUGACAAAGGGAGAGAGAAGUUCAGGAAUUUCAAAGAUUUUGCAGACCAGAAGCUUCUAAAAUGGCGUGUUAAUGCCAUAUUGUCUAACAGAGGCCGGUACUUUUUCGUUGGCUUGGAUUUAGCUGACAAGGUCAUUGAUAGUAUGGAGAACUGUGUUGAGGCCAUUGGGAAUAAAAUUGAUCAAAUUAUUGACAAUAUGGACUAAGUUGACUUUGAUGAAUAGUAAUUAAUAAUAAUUACAUAUAAUAGUAUAUUUACCAUUCGGGUCGUUGGUUAUUAACUAGAUGUCCUAAUAAAAGUAUAGCAUGAUGUAAAAUUGAUUUGAAUGUCUUGCAAGUUGUUAAAUCGUCAAUUUCUUCAUAUUCUUUCCCAACAACCUUGAUAUAGAAAGUAGUUCCAUUGUAACUGGCAACCAGGACAAACCCCAGAAAGAAAAUGUAAUUUUACGCUAACCUAAGAAUAAGAUAAUAAUUGUAGUAACCGAGCGGAGGUCAUGAUGAACGCCUUAUCUUUUUGAACAAAAGGAACCAUAAAAAAACUCUCAAAUCUCUCGAACACA